rnacentral:tRNA from 1 species
GCGAGGGUGGCGGAAUGGUAGACGCGCUAGCUUGAGGUGCUAGUGACUAAUUAAACGGUCGUGAGGGUUCAAGUCCCUUUCCUCGCA